rnacentral:rRNA from 1 species
GAUGAACGCUGGCGGCGUGCCUAACACAUGCAAGUCGAGCGAAAACACGAGGAGCUUGCUUCUCUGACGUUAGCGGCGGACGGGUGAGUAACACGUGGAUAACCUACCUAUAAGACUGGGAUAACCUCGGGAAACCGGAGCUAAUACCGGAUUAUAUAUUCAACCGCAUGGUUCAAUAGUGUCAGACGGUUUUGCUGUCACUUAUACAUGGUUCCGCGCCGGAUUAGCUAGUUGGUAAGGUAACGGCUUACCCAGGCAACGAUGCGUAGCCGACCUGAGAGGGUGAUCGGCCACACUGGAACUGAGACACGGUCCAGACUCCUACGGGAGGCAGCAGUAGGGAAUCUUCCGCAAUGGGCGAAAGCCUGACGGAGCAACGCCGCGUGAGUGAUGAAGGUCUUCGGAUCGUAAAACUCUGUUAGUAGGGAAGAACAAAUUUGUGUGUAACUAUGCACGUCUUGACGGUACCUGAUGAGGAAGCCACGGCUAACUACGUG